UACGUAGGGUGCGAGCGUUGUCCGGAAUUAUUGGGCGUAAAGAGCUCGUAGGCGGUGUGUCACGUCGGCCGUGAAAACCUGCAGCUUAACUGUGGGCGUGCGGUCGAUACGGGCAUCACUGGAGUUCGGCAGGGGAGACUGGAAUUCCUGGUGUAGCGGUGAAAUGCGCAGAUAUCAGGAGGAACACCGGUGGCGAAGGCGGGUCUCUGGGC
rnacentral:rRNA from 1 species